rnacentral:rRNA from 1 species
UACGGAGGGUGCGAGCGUUGUCCGGAAUCAUUGGGCGUAAAGGGCGCGUAGGUGGCCCGGUCAGUCUUUGGUGAAAGCGCGGGGCUCAACCCUGCGUCGGCCAGGGAUACUGCCGCGGCUCGAGCACUGUAGAGGCAGGCGGAAUCCGGGUUGUAGCGGUGGAAUGCGUAGAGAUCCGGAGGAACACCAGAGGCGAAGGCGGCCUACUGGGCUGCACCUGACGCUGAGCCGCGAAAGCCAGGGGAGCGAACGGG